rnacentral:sRNA from 1 species
UGAUAUUGCUCGCUAGACCGCCGAUCCGA